rnacentral:rRNA from 1 species
CGUCAGCUCGUGUCGUGAGAUGUUGGGUUAAGUCCCGCAACGAGCGCAACCCCUAUCUUCAGUAGCCAGCAUUACGGAUGGGCACUCUGGAGAGACUGCCAGGGACAACCUGGAGGAAGGUGGGGAUGACGUCAAAUCAUCAUGCCCCUUAUGGCCAGGGCUACACACGUGCUACAAUGGCGUGAACAAAGGGAAGCAGCCAUGUGAAUGUGAGCAAAUCCCAAAAAUAACGUCUCAGUUCGGAUUGUAGUCUGCAACUCGACUACAUGAAGCUGGAAUCGCUAGUAAUCGCGAAUCAGAAUGUCGCGGUGAAUACGUUCCCGGGUCUUGUACACACCGCCCGUCACACCAUGGGAGUCAGUAACGCCCGAAGCCGGUGACCUAACCGAAAGGGAGGAGCCGUCGAAGGUGGGACCGAUAACUGGGGUGAAGUCGUAACAAGGUAGCCGUAUCGGAAGGUGCGGUUGGAUCACCUC